rnacentral:rRNA from 1 species
GAGAUGUUGGGUUAAGUCCGUAACGAGCGCAACCCUUCGUCCUUAGUUACCAGCACGUUAUGGUGGCACUCUAAGGAGACUGCCGGUGACAAACCGGAGGAAGGUGGGGAUGACGUCAAGUCAUCAUGGCCCUUACGGCCUGGGCUACACACGUGCUACAAUGGUCGGUACAAAGGGUUGCCAAGCCGCGAGGUGGAGCUAAUCCCAUAAAACCGAUCGUAGUCCGGAUCGCAGUCUGCAACUCGACUGCGUGAAGUCGGAAUCGCUAGUAAUCGUGAAUCAGAAUGUCACGGUGAAUACGUUCCCGGGCCUU